UUCACAAAGGGGUAUUCAUGUGUAGGUUGGACAUGUUUUACCACUGCCCUUGUUUCAGAUACCACCCCCACCCCCAACUAGUUCGGUUAAAGUCUGUCUGACUUAGCUUUCCAGAUCACCAGCUCCUCUCCAGGUAAAGAAACCCUGGCUCUAAUCUGGAGACAGCCCUCAGAAAUUCAGGGAAUCAUCCACAUGGAGAGGGCUGGUUGCAGCCCAAGAAGAAUCUCAGGGCACACACAGCUUGGUAGCCUGUCUGCCUGAUGAGAAGACACUUUUCAACAUUUCUGCUCUAGUGAUGCUGCUGAAAACUGCUCAGUUAUCCAGUGCUUACCGGGGAUGUGUUUUUCUUCUGGAUAUGACUUUUGCUAUUUAUAAGUGAGUCUUUGGAAAGGCCAAAAGCUGAAAAGGGAACUGAAGUAAAUGGUACUGUGGAGAAGACAAAUCUAG